UUGGAGGGCAAGUCUGGUGCCAGCAGCCGCGGUAAUUCCAGCUCCAAUAGCGUAUAUUAAAGUUGUUGCAGUUAAAAAGCUCGUAGUUGAACUUCGGGGUCUACCCAUUGGUCAGGCUUAAUUGUCUGCACUGGUGAGAUGGAUCUCUACCUUCUGAGGAACUUUCAUGCCAUUUAUUUGGUGUGAUGGGAAAUCAGGACUGUUACUUUGAAAAAAUUAGAGUGUUUAAAGCAGACUAUCGUCUGAAUACAUUAGCAU
rnacentral:rRNA from 1 species